rnacentral:rRNA from 1 species
UACGUAGGGGGCGAGCGUUAAUCGGAAUUACUGGGCGUAAAGCGUGCGCAGGCGGUUCGUGAUGUCUGAUGGGAAAGCCCCGGGCUCAACCUGGGAACUGCAUUGGAAACUAGCGGGCUGGAGUGUGGCAGAGGGGGGUGGAAUUCCACGUGUAGCAGUGAAAUGCGUAGAGAUGUGGAGGAACACCGAUGGCGAAGGCAGCCCCCUGGGCUAACACUAACGCUCAUGCACGAAAGCGUGGGGAGCAAACAGG